rnacentral:rRNA from 1 species
ACUCCUACGGGAGGCAGCAGUGGGGAAUAUUGGACAAUGGGCGAAAGCCUGAUCCAGCAAUGCCGCGUGAGUGAUGAAGGCCUUAGGGUUGUAAAGCUCUUUUACCCGGGAUGAUAAUGACAGUACCGGGAGAAUAAGCUCCGGCUAACUCCGUGCCAGCAGCCGCGGUAAUACGUAGGAGGCGAGCGUUAUCCGGAUUUACUGGGCG